AAACGUAGGAGGCGAGCGUUAUCCGGAUUUAUUGGGCGUAAAGGGCAAGUAGGCGGUAGGCAAAGUUGGUUGUGACAUCUCCCGGCUCAACUGGGAGGGUGCGGCCAAAACUAGCAUACUAGAGGGCAGAAGAGGGAAGUGGAAUUCCUGGUGUAGCGGUGGAAUGCUCAGAUACCAGGAGGAACACUAGUGGCGAAGGCGGCUUCCUGGUCUGCACCUGACGCUGAGAGGCGAAAGCUAGGGGAGCGAACGGGCUUAGAUACCCCGGUAGUCCUAGCCGUAAACGUUGGAUACUGGGUAUUUGGGAGGUAAGACUUCUGAGUGCCGAAGCAAACGCGUUAAGUAUCCCGCCUGGGGACUACGGCCGCAAGGUUAAA
rnacentral:rRNA from 1 species